AUUGAACGCUGGCGGCAUGCUUUACACAUGCAAGUCGAACGGCAGCGCGGGCUUCGGCCUGGCGGCGAGUGGCGAACGGGUGAGUAAUGCAUCGGAACGUGCCCAGCCGUUGGGGCUAGCCCGGCGAAAGCCGGAUUAAUACCGCAUACGACCUGAUGGUGAAAGCGGGGGACCGAAAGGCCUCGCGCUAUUGGCGCGGCCGAUGUCGGAUUAGCUAGUUGGUGGGGUAAAGGCUUACCAAGGCGACGAUCCGUAGCUGGUCUGAGAGGACGACCAGCCACACUGGGACUGAGACACGGCCCAGACUCCUACGGGAGGCAGCAGUGGGGAAUUUUGGACAAUGGGGGCAAGCCUGAUCCAGCCAUGCCGCGUGCGGGAAGAAGGCCUUCGGGUUGUAAACCGCUUUUGUUCGGGAAGAAAUCCUCUGGGCUAAUACCCCGGGGGGAUGACGGUACCGGAAGAAUAAGCACCGGCUAACUACGUG
rnacentral:rRNA from 1 species